GUCCGUGCGUGGCACGAGGCUCCGCUGCACCGCCGGCACUGCCCCGCUCAUAAGGAUGGCUGUGUUUGAGUGACUGCAUCACCGCAGGUUUCUGAGUGGCUCUGAACUCAAGAUGCAUAUUUUAAAUGUCCCCUGCUGUUGCCGAUAAUUUGUUCCAUAUUUACCAUGUUACUUAGUACUUGCAAAUGGGUUGGGCUUCUUUAGAAUGGAAAUGUUAAUUAAAUUGCGGAGCGGUGGCCACAGCGGGUCAAACUCAUCGCUGACCCCUCGUGCUGCUGCAGUCUGUGCCUUCAGCACUCGGCACUGUUGACUUCCCUCCACAUCCAUCCGUUGGACAUGAGAAAAGCCGGUGCUCUCGUUCCUGUGUGAGCUCAGAUGUAACUGUUGCUGCGCUGUGCUUUGUGCCGGCUGCGACUCCUGGAGGCUUUCAAAGGAUGGGGCUAUGAAAUGCAUUGUUUGUUGAAAUAUAAAUAGCUGACAUGUAGAAUGUGCGGUUCUGGACUUAAUCGAAGACCACAGUUCUUAUGGUAUCCACGUCUGUAAGGAGAGGAUUUGGGUAAGAGUUUAGGUAAAAUAAAGUAAGAUAAAAGGCUUAAUACCGCAGGCUUUUAAAACCACAUUUACUCAGCAGGAGUUUGAAUGGUAAUAUUUUUCCUUAAGUAAAUCUUAGCAAAUUCCCACAGCAUCAGAAAAAGGGGCGUUUCAGAAGAAAACACGCUGUGUCUCACGCACACAUCUCCUGUGUUCUGUGGCACUUUCAUCCAGUGUCCAGCAUUGCAUCUUGAAAAUCAAUGAAGAAAGCAAUAGUAGGACUAGAAUAGACUGUCCUUUAUGCACUCGAUGACAACUUUCACUUUGGAGCAAGUAUGAAACCAAUGCAUUUCAUGCUCGUGGGCCUGCUAAUGAGCAAGCUGGUGAGAGCUCCAUUGUUUUUAUGGCAGACAGAUUUAUUGUUUUACUUUCAACGUUAUAUAUUAUUUGCUAAAUCUGUUUACAGAAAAUCAGUUGAACCAAUCCUGAGAAAAAAAUAUUUUCCUUUUGGCAACUAAUUUUAAAGACAAACUGAGGAUUCACUUCAGCGUCCACUGAAGCCGCAGAAGUAGAGAGAGGUCAGCAGCCUCGAGCAUCGGCUCCCUAUUGCUUUCCGAGUUGGCAGUAGUCUGGUUUUCAGCUUAACAGUCUCAUCUGAAGCAGCAAACUUUGCCCAUGGAAAAUGUUUUUUUUGUGUUGGGGCAGUCUUUAAAUUUAAAAGUACCUUUUGAAUGCUUUUUCACGCUGGAUGAUACUGUGUGGUUGUUCCCUACUUCAAUACGAAAUUAGUGGGAGGAGAACCAGCUGUCCCCGUUCCCUUGUAGGUUCGCCAUACCUACGUUUGGUAUGUUCAGCAUACGUUGUGCUAUUGAUGAUGUCACAGGUGUCUCCCGUGCUUUAAUUCGAUUAGAAAGUAUUUCAGCAGACUCAAUAGCCUGCAUGUUGGCAGCCACUGAAACGAGGCAUAAUUCACUCUUAGUAGUUAUGGACUCCACAGAUUCUGCCACGUGAUGCUCAACAGUUUCCUACCAACAUUGUAUUUUCUGGGCUUUCAUAACACAUAGUGACUGCCCUUUUGUGAUAAAAAUCGACAGCUGUGGGAAGACUGGUGCAGCUGGGCUGUGUGUGUUCUGUCCUUCCCGUCCCUCUACCAAUCUGCUGAGUUCUGCUGGAAAAGGCUGCGAAGAUCCCCGAGCCUGAGUGCCCUGUGCAGGAGCAGGAGCUCUGCUGGGUUGGGUUCCUCCAGGAGCGAGCACUGUGACCUCACUGCCCCACGCUCACCUGCUGUGUGCGGGGCAAACCUCCAUCCCUGGUGCUGUGCGCUGCAGCCAGCAGCUGGGGAGCACCUGUGGGAAGGACAUCAGAAAGCUAUGGGCAGCCUGGGUGAUCGUGACUUAAAUGGUGCAGCCUGAGCAAAUACACAGCUCCAGCUCUGUCCGUGCUCUCUUCCUGGUGAGAAGGCACAGGCUGAAAGUGCAAAUAAGCAGAGUUUGAUGAUACUUUGGUGUGAAAUGAUGGGGGACGGGCAAAUACGCCUACAGGAGCUCUAUGGCUACAGAAUAAAUGUAACCUCGCUUUGGGAAAUGAAGUUGAGACAGCACAUCACUUUCUGAAAGAAGUGAAGGGCGCUGGAAGUUGGGUGGCCCCAGUAAGAGUACUGCACAGAUAAGAGCUCUUAGGGGAUUCCGUUUGGCAGGACCAGAGGUUGGCAGAACCCAGCUGGCAUCGAGUGCUUUCAAGAUCCCAUCCCGGCCUUAGUUAGUUCUCUGGGUAGUGCACUGCAGGCUAUGUGAGUUUACACAGCAGCACACCUUUAGGCACUUCCAUGCUGGUUUGCAGUACUGUCUGAUGCUCUCCUCACGUGCUCUUCCCUAUUUGUCUGUAGGUAGGUUCAUAAAUUAUCUGCUUAGGUUUGUUUUGCUUAGGUGAUUUCUUUAAACAUGCAUAGACUUAGGAGACAUUUAAUCAGUGUCUGUCUCUUUAAAGACAUUUGCUCUGGUAUACUCUCACUGUUAGCCUUCGGCUAAUGGUAUGGCACUAUUUGCCAUAAGGACUGCCUGCUUGCUGUGGUUGCUGGCCAUGUAGGUGCCUCUUCUUCCCCAUUUCAGGUUCUCCUACAGAACUUUGUUGGCCACAGUGAACAGUUAAGUAUCUAAAUGCCUAUUCAAUGAGUGCCUUGCCAAGUUAGCAGUGCAAGCAUAUUUUUGUAAAGAAAUAUGCAGCUUGACUUGUGGUGGCCAUUGAGAAGCUGAGCUGCAAAAACAUCAACACCACAAGGACACAAUAUUUUUCUCCUGAUUACAACACCCUCAUUUAUUUUGGAAUUCUUAUGCCAGCUGAGGACUCCAGGGCAGUGACAGUAGAAGAGUUGUCCAGAUGCCAAGGAAAAGAGAGAGCUGUAUAUGUACCCCUGUUCUGAAAUGGUGGAGGGAAGGGAGAAAGGCUGCGUGAGGAUUUGAAAGAAUACAUUUCCAUAAACGUUUUGAAGGGAGCCCACAGGCUGCUCCUGCAGCAGAUACCUGCCGUGCUGGGAAGGUGUGUCUGAGAUCCGACUGAUGCUGAAUUCUCAGCUCUUCACCUGAAGAGAUCUGCAGAUUCAGAACAACUGUUCUUUUUCUUUUAAAAUUAAGAGAGGUGCUUGCAGUUCAAAUAAGCUGUGAAAGCCAUCGCAGAAGGCUCUUGUGGGAGCAGUGCUGUGGAGACAGCGGCUCGACUGCCUGACCGGGCUGUUUGGGAGCAGUGCAAAGAAUAACCAAAUAGCUGGAGGCUUGGCUUUGUUUCAUGUGGAAAACACACAUCACCACGCCGUUCUGUGGUACACGUAAGACAGUGUUUUUGCCCCUUAAUAUAUGAUCCUCUCUGUUUGUAGGCCUCUCUGUCAUUCAGCAUCCUUUGAAGCCUUUCAGUUCCCUGGCAGCUCUCAGCAGUGACUUACCGGGACGCACAGCGUCAGGCAUGGGCUGUGCAGGGACCUCACUACAGCAUCUUAUGUUUUUGAAGCAUCCUUCUAAAGCUCUUUAUCUGCAAAACACUUGAGCCAAGCGUGGGUGUGCUGCAGCAAUCCAGCACAGUGCCGUUACAGCGUCUGUCUUCUGUUGUGCUCCCUCUUGGUUUUAGAUCAGGCUGUGCACUUCUGUAGGGGCAGGGACUGCCUUUUUCUUAUGCAUUAGUACAAUACCAAACAUGGUCGCCCCAUGUCUGAGCUCUGAGAUGCGACAAUAAAUCUUUGACAGAAUAUAUAUAUAUAUAUGUUAUCUUAAUGGUAUCAUCAUGGGUGUGAUGUCAUUGUUAUGGUUGGAGAACUAAAACAUAGAUGGUCUACAGACAAAAUUACUGAGUAUCCUCUGAUUGUGGGUGUGCUUAUCCAAGCCACCUAAGAGCUGACAUUUCAUAUCAGUACUUUACAUGUUCAAAGCACGGUUCCAGCUGGCUUGAAUUGCAGCUGUUGUGAACGCACUCCCUGCUAUGAACAGAGGCUCAACUGAGGCUGCAUAGCUUAAGCAUUGUAGAAAAUGAGGCAUAUCCAUCAAGUGGCCACCUGUGAAAAGCUUUCAGUGCUGUGCAUGCUGCCACACUGGGAUUCUUUGGCAGAACACGGGGAGAGAAUUCGUUUUGCUGGGAUGAUGUUCAGUUCCUGCCCUGCUUUGCUCAGAGUCUCGCUUUGCACUGUACCCACUGUCAGGUGUGUGAGCAGUGAGCUCUGGGCACAAAGCAAGUCCACCCAGAGACAAAGACAUCCACAGCCUUGGCUCAGGCAGUGGAGAGUUGCAGCACGAGGUGCGAGAACAGUCCUGGGGGUGUUUCUCAGACAUUAAGGGACUUGGUACAGCGUGCUUCAUUGCCAUGAAUGUCUCUGUUCCAUGCUCACACAUAGGCCCUCCAGUCUCGCUGCUCUGCAUAGCUCCCCGUGCCCUGCUCAGAGGGCGGCAGAGGGACCGCUCCCCAACCCGCAUGGAGGAACAGCAGCCAUUCAGGUGCAAAGUAGGAAACCAUACCAACGGUUACGUUAAAUUUAGAAGGCUGCUUCUAAACUAAUUUUUGUCUGUGUGGUGUUUCCUUUCUGUGAGGAUUACUUUGAGAACUUGUGCAGAGAGUAACCGGUAUUUCUCCCUGCACAACUGUUCGCUGUAUCUGCAUUCUUAGUCCUUCACACUCACCACCAGUCAGCAGGGCCAUUGCCAGCAGCACCGCACACGUCUGCCACUGCCUUCUGUGCGGCAGGGAUCAGCCCUUCCACUGCAAUGAGAUCAGGAGAUGCCAUGAGGCCGUGCAACAUCUCCCUGCCAGUAUUUCACUGUGAUAAAAGACAUGAAUUGUCCUAAGCGAGGAGUGCUCAGCUUUGCUGUUUUGUGACCUUGUGGUGGCCAGUUCUGUACUCCGUGUGCUUGCGUGCUUUCAUCUGUCUUCUCCCUUUUUUUUUAAUCUUUGUUGUCUAUUGAGAUGGACCAGAAUGCAGGGCCUGAAGUGCCUUCAGCACGUGCACAAUGCCUGCUGCAAAGCAAUCCUGCUUGCAGGGCGCCGGUGUUCACCAAUACCUUUAGCUGAGAAAGCAGAGUGAGCGACUGAAAGAAGCUGAACUCAACAACAAUAACUGAGCAUGUGUCAAGUGCACCUAUCACAGUGCAGAAAACGUGCACGUGUUUAUAUGAAAUCUGUUGGAUUGCCUUCCCACAGUCAGUGAUAAAUCUCCAUAUGAAAUCACAGCUAUCCUUGCAUACAUCUCCACAUGUUCACACAAGGUUUUGAGAACAGCCUUUCAACCAGGAGCUGCUAUUUUCCUGUGCUCUUAGUCCAUAACACAAGCUCUUACCUCCUUUUACAGAUGUUUGUUUGCCCACUGAAUGGCGUUGUUUGAGCCAAUCAGACCAAAGCCAGCUUCCAUUAUGAGCACUGUCUGACAGUGUUCUGGGUUCUACCUGGGAUCUCAGAGCCGUGAGUUCAGUUUUGGGGCCUGGGCAAGCAUGCACAGCUGCAUCUGGCUCCUGCUGGAAAGAUUUAUCAGACAGAGGUGACGUCUUUGACCCAGGUUUGUCCCGCCGGGGUCUUUCUGAACACCUCCACGAGCUGCAGAAGGAGAGGAGUUGUCCCACGCACCGGUGUGUUCAGGUACGCAGCAAGCCCUGGCUGAGUAAAUCACCUGUGACUGAUUACCCCUCAGACCCCGGUGAGAAAUGCUGCAGGGAAGCAGUACUGUCGCUGUAGAUAGAAGAGUAUACCAACCUGUUUGGCUUCCAUGAGAAGCAGGCAGAUACUGCAUCAUCUAAACUACAAACAGGCAAGUUGCAUUUUGCAUUUUGUGUCACCUUCACCACGUUGAAAGUGGAUUUCAGGUGAAGGAAGUGCUUGAUUUGCUUUCAGUGGCAUUUCGGGAAAUUCCAGUCUUAGUAAUUAAGUACCUCUGGUGCGUGUUCUGCUGAAAGCUAAGGCAGCCUGCUAGAAAUAAUCCAUUGGUUGAACUGCCCGAUUGUUAGUGGCAAUAUUACAGCUGCUUCAUGUACUAUCGAUCAGGUUUUGAGUAAGUCUUUCUGUGUUGGCCUUGCUGAAGAAAUUGAUGCAUUCCAAACUCACAGCCUUUGUCUCUUCUUCCUGAAUUGUUGCAUACUUAAAUUACAGCUGAUAUUAUUUAUCCACCCUGUUUAUAUAGGGGUAAUACAUUUCAGGUCCUGGGCACAGACUGAUUUUUCAGUACUGGUUUGUACAGCACCUAACACACAGUCUCCUAAGCCACCAAGGGUAACAAAUGUUAUAAGAUAAUGUCAUGCCACAAAGGGAGAUGCUGUUACCAUGCAGUGAGUCUGCAGCUUGCAGUCUGGGGCUACUGAAGACAGAUCAAAUGGGAUCCACUCUGCGAGUGAAGAACUUCUGCAGAACCCAUUCCUACUGCCUGCAUUUGAAUGAGUCCCACACCUCUGCCAUGUGCUGCCUAGAAACUUUCAUCCACUUCUCUGGUGUAACAGUGUGCACCCACAGAACCGGGCAGAUACUGCAUUAAAAUCCACUUUCACUGCAGUCUUGGAUCCAAAGGGAAAAAAUAAUAGCCAUUUUCUAAAGGUCGUCUUCUCUCCUAUUCAGAGGUGACUUUUAAUUUCAGACGUCUGAGCUGAAUAUGUUGAGAAAAGGAGUUUUAAAAAAAACAACAACAAGAGAGGAGGAGGGAUGCGAAAAUAUUCAGAGACAAACGUCCGUUGUGGGCUGUGGUGCAGUUUGUAUGCAGAAACAGUGGCAUCUAGUGGACGGAGAGGGGCCAAUGUUACCGGGCACAGCAAAUAGAGAACAGGCAGUGAUUAAAGCAAAUGAGAUCUUUAUCUCUUCCUUAGGUGAAAGAUCUUCCCAAGUCUGUUUUAGUUCUUUUCUGUAAAAGCAUUGUAAAUCGGCUGUUCUGCACCUUUCCCAUCUCCAGCAUACAGCUUGCUGAACACUUCUUAUAUUCUUUUUGUAUAUUUCAUUAUAUUAAACCUUCUUGUGGCUCUCCUGUGUCAGUUCUAAUGGCCUUCUGUUCUACGGGUCAUCAGAAAUCUUCACCCGGUGGGAAAGCUGAUGGUUUGCAUGGAUGUAUGGUUUGCAUGCAUGUACUGAAGUCUAUUGUUUUCCUCUAGAUUUUAGACAUGGGCAAAAAUAAACCCCUGACUGCUCCCAGAAUAUACUUAUUUUGUUCAACUUCAGAUGUUUGUGAGCAGAGCGUGGCCUUAAAGGAAAUAUCUGUAUAGAGGAAGAGAACAAAAUCAGAGUGGAGCAGCCAGGCUGAAGGACUUUGGAAAAAGCUUAAUUACAUCAUUUCUGUAGAUAGAACUAAAUAUAAUGUUUCUGCAGUGUUAACCUUUUAUGCUAAAAGAAGUAUGAGUUUUUUUGUGGUCUAUAAAGCCUGAAGUACUCAUAUUCUUGCCUUCUCUCUCCUUAGACUGCAGUGUUUGCCAGUGCUGAGCAAACUUCCAAUACUCUGCUGUACUCUGCUGGCCCUCCUCUUCUUUGGCACUCUCUCAGCUGGGUUGAAGGGCGCUUCUCUGUUUUACUUGCAGGGCACAAAUCAGUUUGCAUGAAUGGAAGACUUGGCUUCUUGAAUCAGUUUGCAUUAGGAUUAGCUCAGUGUUACUGUGGUAGGCCUAGCAGCUCCCACUUAACCCCACUAAUCAUCUAACCUGUGACUGGAUAUAACUAAGUAGGAGUUCUGUUAUUUCAGAGAUGCACUUAACUGUCAGUGGGGGGAAAUUGGCACAGCUGGGAUCAGUGUGAUUUUUUUCACUAAGCAAGAGAAAACAGAGCCAGGGUUUCAUCCAGUGACAUUUAUUUGAAUGCAGACAAUAGCAACCUCAUUAUGCUUUUUCACACUCCCAGAUUUAAUCUAUGAUUCUAUCUUGACCGCUGGGGAAAGUAAGCCUUUGAUGCUUUGGGAUUUAAAUUAUUUCCUUGGAGUCAUCCACGAGAGUCAUCUUACUGGAAGGAAAGUGUACUAGCACUGUUGUGCUAUUUGAGCCUAAUAAGUGGCUCUGAUGAUGCAGUAACGUUAUCUACUUCAGAUUGCUUUUUAUUUAGCUACCCAUCAUUAGGGUCUCAGUGUGACUGCAGUGAAGCUAAGCUGUUAGCUUAGUCUGUCCAUAACUAAUUCUACUGCUGUUACAAAUCAUAACUGUUACGUAAGAGCAAUCAAGACUUUUCUCAUGGUGUUCAGCAGGUAUCAUCUGUUUACCAUCUAAUUGUACAUGAUAUUCUGUACCAAGGCAUAAGUUAGAAAGGCACACAGGCAGAAGAGGGAUGGCUGGAUUCCUGUGGCUGACCUGAGAAUUAAAAGGAGUGGGAAAAGAUUUGCUGAGAAACUACAAAGUGAUUCGACUGCCUCUUCCUUCCCACCUGCUGAACAUGGAAAGUCCUCACUUUGAAAUGCUUGCAAUACAAAAAGAAAUCACUUUGCAAUCCUGAGCCUCACU